rnacentral:rRNA from 1 species
UCCGGAUGCUUCACUUUUACUUUGAGGAAAUUAGAGUGUUCACGGCAGGCAAUCGCUUUGAAUACAUUAGCAUGGAAUAAUAAUAUAGGACCUUGGCUCUAUUUUUGUUGGUUUUCUAGAACUUAACGUAAUGAUUAAAUAGGGACAAAUUGGGGGGCAUUCGUAUUAACGCGUCAGAGGUGGAAUUCUUGGAUUGCGUUACGACGAACUACUGCGAAAGCAUUUGCCAAGGAUGUUUUUCAUUGAUCAAGAACGAAAAGUAUGGGGGAUCGAAGACGCUUAGAUACCGUCGUAGUCUAUACCCAUAAAACUAUGCCCGACAAAGGAUCGGUGGGGUUAUCCUAUGUGGCUCCCUUCGGCAUCUUAUGAGAAAUCAAAGUUUUUGGGUUCCGGGGGGAGUAUGGUCGCAAGGGCUGAAAACUU